GGCUGAAAUUCGCCUUCAUGAAGUCGGAAUCGCUAGUAAUGGCAGGUCAGCAUACUGCCGUGAAUACGUUCCCGGGCCUUGUACACACCGCCCGUCACACCAUGAGAGUUGGAGAUACCCGAAGCCUAUGAGCUAACUUUUAGAGGCAGUAGUCGAAGGUAGAAUCAAUGAUUGGGGUGAAGUCGUAACAAGGUAUC
rnacentral:rRNA from 1 species